rnacentral:rRNA from 1 species
AUCUGUGGCCAUGCCACCCUGAACACACAAAUCUCGUCUGAUCUCGGAAGCUAAGCAGGAUCGAGCCUGGUUAGUACUUGGAUGGGAGACCACCUAGGAAUACCGGGUGUUGUAGGCA